GACAUAGUUCCAUCAUUUCCUUCAGCCUCCUGCUGUGAUAAAGCAAACAAUCGUGCAUUUCCUCCAGUUCUUAGCUCAUUCGCUCUUCCUUUAGGACAUGUAUUUGCAAAAUGUCCCGGCUCAGCGCACUUAAAACAAACUCCUUUGUUCCAUAGACACUUGCCUGCGUGAAACUUCUUGCAUUCCGGGCACUGAGGUCGCUGUGCUCCUCCUGGACGUACUUCUCCUAUCUUCUUAUUUGGAAAGUUUUCAUUCCAUUUGUUACUGGUGUCAAACUUUCUCUUCCCACUGUUGUCUCCAGCCUUGACUGGCACAACAUCAGCCUCCAAACCAGUUGCUACCUCAUGAGCUCGUCUUACCGCCAAUCCAUAAUCCACAAUCUCUUGUCCCGCCAAAAUACCCCGAAUUUCAGGUCGAAGCCCUCUCAAGAACCGAUCAGCCUUAAGAUCCUCAGUAUUCACCAUACGAGUAGCAUAGCGAGCCAAAAGAUUGAACUUCCUCUCGUAUUCUGUGACUGACAUGGUUCCUUGUUUGAGGUCUAGGAAUUCUGCUUGCUUUUGAUUUCGGUAUGAACGUGGAAAAUACUUGUCCAUUACAACCUCCUUGAACCUGUUCCAAGUAAGUCCUUGACGUUGAACCUCCGUCAUUCCAUUCUUAUACGACCUCCACCAAUGACCGGCAUCUUCAGUGAAUUGGAAAGUUGCACAGGACACUUUGUGCGCGUCAACACACUCUAUGUGCUCAAAUAUCCUUUCCAAUUCCAUCACCCACUCCUCAAGUGCUAACGGCCCACUCUUUCCAUCAAAUCUUGGCGGUGUAUAACGACGGAACUGCUCAAUCACUUGAUUGGUUUGUGUUUGAGCUGGUGCAUUGUUAGGAAGAUUAUGCACUUGAGUUUGUUGUUGGACAAAACCUUGGAGUGCAGUAAUCAAAUUUUGUAUUAAGUUUCCAUCGCCAACAUUUGCUUCUGCAUCAUUCCCGGUGUUGUCAUUGAGAUUUGGAUUGUUUCUUUGUGGACGUCCCGGUUUCAUUUUCCUAGAAAUUCAACAUAAUUACUUGUUGAAUAUAUAUAUAUAUAUAUAUAUAUAUAUAUAUAUAUUAAAGGCAUAUACCUUCACUUACUAAUACCACAUAAUAUUCAACUUAUAAUAGUGAAUAAUAACUCAAUAAAAUAUUCAAAACACAAAGAAAUCUUGUCCAAUAUUAUUAUAUCCUGGCGAAAAUAAAUAAUCCAAAGGAAUGACUUGUUCUCAAAUCCAUAACUAAAUUUCAAGGGAAAACAAAAUAUCAUAAUAGAAUUUCGAAGGUGAUCCUAACUUCUAGUCCUCAUACUCGUCAUCAUUGCAGUCGUCAUCUGCAUCGUUGUUUCCUUCUGGGUCCUCUUCCGGAUCCUCUUCCUCCGAGCUAACUUCUAUAGGCUCAUAGUUCUCGUCAAUUUCGUGUAUUUCAUUGUACUCAUCGUGAAUCUUCUGACCUACUGUCUCGAUAAAUUGCUCGAAAUUUAUCUUGUCCACCCGACCUAGCCUUCUAACUAACAAUUUAUUAUAUAUGUUAUAAACCGUAAAGUAGUGUGCCGGGGAAACAAAAUUAACUACCCUAUAAGCCGCCUCGAACUGACGUACGUCUUCCAUGAUCACCUGUCCUGAGCCACAAGUUUUUAAUAGCCACUAAAUUCUCUAAUGCUCUCAUUCUUGGGUUCCAUUCCUUAUUAAAGAAUCAAUGUUUAGCAGCUUUAUGCAUCACCACCAGGUCAACGGUGUUAUCGGCCAUUCUAUUCAAAUACAAAUCAGAUUAUGAAUACAUAUUAUCAGUUUUUCUAGGUCUCAAGGUCAAAAACAAAAUCAAUGAAAAUAUAUCAUUAAUUUUGAAUAAACCAAUUCAAACUUCAAAAUUUUCAAAAUCCAUCAUACUUCAUUAAGCAUAAAAAUAACACUAUUAAAUUUACCUUGGAGUAGGAGCGCGUGGCGAAGAUGUGGUGUUUAGAAUUUUUUAUUAUUAUUUUUUUUCUCAAGUCUACAGAAACGUAGACCUGCUCUGAUACCACUAAAUGUAACACCCUAAUUAUAAAUUUUGUUCUAAUUAAAUAUCAUAUAGUAUUUUCGCAAAAAUAUCGACAACCUCAAAUAAUGUAAUUCCAAAAUCCUGUAGAGAACUCAAUAAUCGAAAGUAAACCGACCAAAUAAUAUUUUUAGGAAAAUAAUCACCAUACACACUAGACGGAAAACAUAAUGUUAAUUUACCAAAGUACCUAAUAUAAUAUGAGAAAGUCAAAUAUGAUUCACUAGAAAUUCAUAAACUUUACCUUUAAAGUAAACUAAACUUCAAAUCCUAAGUUUUCCUUAACCAAUAAAGGGUCUUUAGUAAUAUUAAAGAAAGUUUUCAUAACAUAUCCUAAGCACCACACACAUCCAUCACGCAUCUCCUUGCUCCUCGCCUGAAAAAGUUUUAAAUAAAAUGGGGUGAGUAUUUUAAAUAUACUCAGUGAGGGGGAAUUCAUAACUAAUCUUUUACUUUGUCCAAACGUGCAACAUAGCAUAUGAAAUAUAAAAUCAUAACUUCAACCAUAAACCAACAACUUGCUCAAAUAACAAGAGAGGAAAUAUGGGACAUAACUUCAACCACAUUUCAAUACAACACAUAAGAAAGUAUGAACACAUGGGACAUAUCACUUCAAUUGUGCACCGGAACAUAAACUUGGCAUAUUGCUAUAUUCUCACAUCAUAAUCUCAUUCAUAAAUCAUAGCAUAUGUAAACACGUUGGACAUAAAAUAACUUUUUCAGUAAAUAACUUAAAAUAUUUUCUUGCGGAAUUUAAACAUAAAAUAAAGGAACUUUCUUUAUUUUUACCCACCUCAAAUCUUUGAUAGCAAACUUGACUAACGUUUGGCUCAAUUAGGAUCUNUCCAGUUCUUGGCUCAUUCGCUCUUCCUUUGGGACAUGUAUUUGCAAAAUGUCCCGGCUCGGCACACUUAAAACAAACUCCUUUGUUCCAUAAACACUUGCCUGCGUGAAACUUCUUGCAUUCCGGGCACUGAGGUCGCUGUGCUCCUCCUGGACGUACUUCUCCUAUCUUCUUAUUUGGAAAGUUUUCCUUCCCCUUGUUACUGGUGUCAAACUUUCUCUUCCCACUGUUGUCUCCAGCUUUGAAUGGCACAACAUCAGCCUCCAAACCAGUUGCUACCUCAUGAGCUCGUCUUACCGCCAAUCCAUAAUCCACAAUCUCUUGUCCCGCCAAAAUACCCCGAAUUUCAGGUCGAAGCCCUCUUAAGAACCGAUCAGCCUUAAGAUCCUCAGUAUUCACCAUACGAGUAGCAUAGCGAGCCAAAAGAUUGAACUUUCUCUCGUAUUCUGUGACUGACAUGGUUCCUUGUUUGAGAUCUAGGAAUUCUGCUUGCUUUUGAUUUCGGUAUGAACGUGGAAAAUACUUGUCCAUUACAACUUCCUUGAACCUGUUCCAAGUAAGUCCUUGACGUUGAGCCUCCGUCAUUCCAUUCUUAUACGACCUCCACCAAUGACCGGCAUCUUCAGUGAAUUGGAAAGUUGCACAGGACACUUUGUGCGCGUCAGCACACUCUAUGUGCUCAAAUAUCCUUUCCAAUUCCAUCACCCACUCCUCAAGUGCUAACGGCCCAC
rnacentral:lncRNA from 1 species